GAUGAACGCUGGCGGCGUGCCUAAUACAUGCAAGUCGAGCGAACAGACGAGGAGCUUGCUCCUCUGACGUUAGCGGCGGACGGGUGAGUAACACGUGGAUAACCUACCUAUAAGACUGGGAUAACUUCGGGAAACCGGAGCUAAUACCGGAUAAUAUUUUGAACCGCAUGGUUCAAUAGUGAAAGACGGUUUUGCUGUCACUUAUAGAUGGAUCCGCGCCGCAUUAGCUAGUUGUUAAGGUAACGGCUUACCAAGGCAACGAUGCGUAGCCGACCUGAGAGGGUGAUCGGCCACACUGGAACUGAGACACGGUCCAGACUCCUACGGGAGGCAGCAGUAGGGAAUCUUCCGCAAUGGGCGAAAGCCUGACGGAGCGACGCCGCGUGAGUGAUGAAGGUCUUCGGAUCGUAAAACUCUGUUAUUAGGGAAGAACAAAUGUGUAAGUAACUAUGCACGUCUUGACGGUACCUAAUCAGAAAGCCACGGCUAACUACGUGCCAGCCGCCGCCGUAA
rnacentral:rRNA from 1 species